CAGUAGCCGCGGGAAUACGUAGGGUGCGAGCGUUAAUCGGAAUUACUGGGCGUAAAGCGUGCGCAGGCGGUUGUGUAAGACAGGUGUGAAAUCCCCGGGCUUAACCUGGGAAUUGCGCUUGUGACUGCACAGCUAGAGUAUGGCAGAGGGGGGUGGAAUUCCACGUGUAGCAGUGAAAUGCGUAGAGAUGUGGAGGAACACCGAUGGCGAAGGCAGCCCCCUGGGCCAAUACUGACGCUCAUGCACGAAAGCGUGGGGAGCAAACAGGAUUAGAUACCCCUGUAGUCCCUGUCUCUUAUAA
rnacentral:rRNA from 1 species